GCGCAACUCAGACCACUGGAGCGGAGUAGUAUCUGGAGUUUCUGUAACAUCCUUUCCCUUUUUUUUUUUUUUUAAAGCCAGAGCCUCUGUCGCCCAGGCUGCAGUACAGUGGCGUAAUCUCAGCUCACUGCAACCUCUGCCUCCCGGGAUCAAGCGAUUCUCCUUCCUCAGCCUCCCGAGUAGCUGGGAUUACAGGAUGGUGCUAGCAUAUAUAAGACUGAAACACCAAAGUCCUCCGUGGAAGUUAAUGAAUUUCUGGUUAUGAGUUGGAUUCUUCAGCGGAGUAUUUGAGCCAUGCCUUGAGGCACAUACUUCAAGUUGCUGCAUCCAGUUUUAAACUCCAGAUUGAGCUUUACAUAUUAAAUGUGCACAUUUGUUUUCACAUUUUUGAGCUUUGCCAGUGGCACCCUCUCUAAUUAAUCAUCCCGCGGGCUUAGAAAACUU
rnacentral:lncRNA from 10 species